rnacentral:rRNA from 1 species
CAGCAGCCGCGGUAAUACGUAGGGUGCAAGCGUUAAUCGGAAUUACUGGGCGUAAAGCGUGCGCAGGCGGUUUGUUAAGACAGAUGUGAAAUCCCCGGGCUCAACCUGGGAACUGCAUUUGUGACUGGCAGGCUAGAGUAUGGCAGAGGGGGGUGGAAUUCCGCGUGUAGCAGUGAAAUGCGUAGAUAUGCGGAGGAACACCGAUGGCGAAGGCAGCCCCCUGGGCCAAUACUGACGCUCAUGCACGAAAGCGUGGGGAGCAAACAGGAUUAGAUACCCGCGUAGUCCCUGUCUCUUAUAA